rnacentral:sRNA from 1 species
UCGAAUAAAAUCGUUAUAGGAAAUCGUAGAUAUUACUGCAGAAUUAUGCGAGUAAAGUGCUUUAUAACUAAUACAGAUUCUCUUUUGUGAUACUAUAAAUUAAAAUACAACUCACACCAAACCACAACAACUGCACAAUCAAGUAUAAUAAAGUAUGAAAUACAAACGCACAACUGAAAAAAGAGCAA